ACUCCUACGGGAGGCAGCAGUGGGGAAUAUUGCACAAUGGAGGAAACUCUGAUGCAGCAACGCCGCGUGGAGGAUGACACUUUCGGAGCGUAAACUCCUUUAUAUAGGAAGAUAAUGACGGUACUAUAUGAAUAAGCACCGGCUAACUCCGUGCCAGCAGCCGCGGUAAUACGGAGGUGCAAGCGUUACUCGGAAUCACUGGGCGUAAAGAGCGUGUAGGCGGGUUAUUAAGUCAGAAGUGAAAUCCUAUGGCUCAACCAUAGAACUGCUUUUGAAACUGGUAACCUAGAGUAUGGGAGAGGUAGAUGGAAUUUCUGGUGUAGGGUAAAAUCCGUAGAGAUCAGAAGGAAUACCGGAUUGCGAAGGCGAUCUACUGGAACAUUACUG
rnacentral:rRNA from 1 species